AGGAACGGCCAUUGGUAGUGGAGAUGGUGGAGCUGAACUGUUGCACAAUAUAUAAGAUGAUUGGUCAGAUAAAUAUGCUGUCGCAAAUUAAUGACGUACUGGAUUUCGUAGAUAUCUAAAGUUACAUUCCCAUGGCUGAGAUGUGGAAAUGUGUAGGUUCUUCCGUUUCAUAUGCUCCAAGGUCCAUGCUGAUUUUGAUCAUCUAUAUAGUACACUCUGGUGAACUGUGAAGUGGACUUGUAGGAUUUUAUCUCAUAAUUUGGUAGUUCCCGCCUGUUGUCAAAUUUUUGUGGACAAGUCGACUGACAUGAUGACACGAAUGACUUGCUUAAGUUAAUGUGUUAUUCACUUUA